rnacentral:rRNA from 1 species
CCGAAGUUUCUCUCAGGAUAGCUGGUACGGGCUUUGGUUCCGAAAGACACGUACAUGGUGUGCGUUGUAAUCGUGUGGCAUUGGCAAUGGAGUUUCGUCUGGUAAAGCGAAUGACUAGAGGCACGCGGGGGUGCAACGCCCUCGCACUAUUCUCAAACUUUAAAUGGGCGAGACCUUCGGCAUUCAGGAAUGAUGCCGAAGACAGUAACAUGGCUUGCAAUUCUUUGCCCCCCGAGCUCUCAGAAACUGGACAUCGAACGUCAAAGCACACCUAUUGGUGCUGAGGCGUUCGAUAAACACACGGGUCUAGUAGGAAUCAACCCGCUGCUCAGUGGGUCAUUUCUGGUAAGCAGGACUGAUAAUGAGGGAUGAACCUAACGUUGUGCUAAGGGGCCUAAACGAUAGCUAUUUCUUGAUACCAUUGGAAGGGCGCUGCUGGCUGAAGACAGCAGGACGGUGGUCAUGGAAGUCGACAUCCGCUAAGUAGUGUGUAACAACUAAUCCUGCCGAAGCGAGCAACCCUGAAAAUGGAUGGCACUCAAGCUCUCUCCCGAUGCACAACCGUCGGGGCAGUAAAGGCUUGAGAACGAUUUUUGUCAGACCAAUAAGCCUCAAAGCCCCGACGAGUAGGGUGGCGUGCCGGUGAGCGUUGAAGGUCAUGACGUGAGUCAGGCUGGAGCCGCCGGUAGUGCAGAUCUUGGUGGUAGUAGCAAGUACUCUGGUGAAGUAACCUGGAGCUGUGAGGUCUGGAUUAGGGUUCCAUGUCAACAGUGAUUGAACACGGGUGAGUCGGUCCUAAGCCAGCUGUGAAAGCAGUGACAUACCGUCAUGGGUAUGUACGUAGCAUGACGCAGAAGUCUCUGCUGUAGUAGUAGUAGUCGCACGCUCAUAAGCAAAUACGAACCCCCUAACCAACAAGCAAGCUAACAGGGUGGCAAAGCCUAAUGGUACGACCAGGUCGGCUACCAUUUCUCAAAAGAUUCAUAGCGCUCUUGCCACUCUAGAAAAGAUCGGAAACGGAAUUCAGUCAGUCAGUCAGUCGUCUCAACUCGUUUUGCUGUGCGCUCUGCUCUACUACAACACAGAGACAUGCUUUUCUGUAUUCAUGUCAUAGCUCUUACACCCAAUGAACGGAUCUAAUGUUAGGCGAAAGGGAAUGCGGAUUUUGUUCUUUCACCUAUCCUGGCACCCUCGAUUGGCUUACGCCACUCAAUGGUCCAUGCAAAUGAAACCAGGCCGCAGCCGCCGGUAGUCGCCCGAGGAAGAGUUUUCUUUUCUGCUUAACGCACGAGUUCAUUCCUGGAAACAGUUCGGCUGGCGAAAGGAUGAGCCGUUGCGGCAGAGCGCCACGACUGUCGUGUGCGUCUCGGUGUUCCUACCGGUCCGUGAAAAUGUGGUCGAGGGCUUAAAACAACUUUGUUGUAGUAAUUUACUUACACACACGCCCGACAAGUUCGGGACAGACCGUACCCUAUAUCCGCAUCCGGUCUCCAAGGUUCGUAGCCUCUGCAGAGUCAGACACAUGUAGGUAAGGGAAGUCGGCAAACUCGAUCCGUAACUUCGGGAAAAGGAUUGGCUCUGAGGGCCGAGCUGGCCCGGGCUUUGCCUAGUAAGCAGUGCUUUUAGUGACCGGAGUUCAGGUGUACAGGAGCCCUCAGUAAGGUGUUGUUUAGCUCUCGGGUUCGACACACACGAAGUGGGGCAACCGCACCACUUCAACCACGAACGCCUGUGACGGUAUCGCUUUGAGCGGAAGUGCAUUCAAUGUUGGCCCCCAGCCUGUCUGGGUGGCGGCAGUACUUCGUCUGCUCAUACGGGUCCAGCGCUUAGCGGCUAACUCAGAACUGUCAUGGACUAAGGGAAUCCGACUGUCUAAUUAAAACAAAGCGUCGUGACGGCCCCUGUUGGGUGUUGACGCGACGUGAUUUCUGCCCAGUGCUCUGAAUGUCAAAGUGAAGAAAUUCACCGAAGCGCGGGUUAACGGCGGGUGUAACUAUGACUCUCUUAAGGUAGCCAAAUGCCUCGUCAUCUAAUUAGUGACGCGCAUGAAUGGAUUAACGAGAUUCCCGCUGUCCCUAUCUACCGUCUGGUGAACCAACAGGCAAGGGAACGGACUUGCAUGAACACAGCGGGGAAAGAAGACCCUGUUGAGCUUGACUCUAGUCUGAAUCUGUACGGAGACAUCGGAGGUGCAGCAUAAGUGGGAGGCGAAGGUUCGCUUCGGCGUUCCACCGAAUCUUGAGAUACCACUACUCCCUUCGUCUCCGUACUCUACUCGGUUAAUGGGAAAUAUGUAUAGUCAAUGACGGCGUCUGGAGUCAGGGAACGAAGGCGCUCGCGCUUGCUGGGAUAUUGUGUGCUCUUGCGUUCGCGCCUGUGCAUGCACCCUCUGGUGCGUGGUGUCCUGAAUUCCAUUCUAAUGGCUCUUGCUUCGUCCUGCUGAGGACAGAUUCAGGCGGGGAGUUUGACUGGGGCGGUACAUCUGUCAAACGAUAACGCAGGUGUCCUAAGGCCAGCUCAACGAGAUCAGAAAUCUCGUGUAGAGCAUAAGGGCCUAUGCUGGCUUGAUCUAGACUUUCAGUAUGAGUACGGACGGUGAAAGCCAGGCCUAUCGAUCCUUUUGAUGUUACUGAGUUUAUAGCAAGAGGUAUCAGAAAAGUUACCACAGGGAUAACUGGCUUGUGGCGGCCAAGCGUCCUUAGCGACGUCGCUUUUUGAUCCUUCGAUGUCGGCUCUUCCUAUCAUCGAGUUGCAACUGUCGCUAAGCGUCGGAUUGUUCACCCUUAUAAGGUAACGUGAGCUGGGUUUAGACCGUCGCGAGACAGGUUAGUUUUACCCUACUGUGGUCUGAAUGAGGAGCCCUUCACGGGACAACUCUCCUCGUAUGUGUGUCGCUAUGGAAGUUGUGGCCAGUACGAGAGGAACGUCACAACCGAGCCUCUGGUCCCGGACUCGGUCGAGCGGCCGUUGGUCCCAGGCUACGCUCGUACAAGUAAGGCCGAACGCCUCUUAAGCCUGAAACCAUUCCAGGAACAUGAGCGACGCUAUCAGCAGUCGACCUCUACAACGCAAUGCGCGUGUGGUGUAUGGAGCAAGCACCUAAGGUCUUCCCUUGCAAGAGGUGUAUGGCCUUCAAAGGU